rnacentral:rRNA from 1 species
GAUGAACGCUAGCUACAGGCUUAACACAUGCAAGUCGAGGGGCAGCAUGGUCUUAGCUUGCUAAGGCCGAUGGCGACCGGCGCACGGGUGAGUAAACACGUAUCCAACCUGCCGUCUACUCUUGGACAGCCUUCUGAAAGGAAGAUUAAUACAAGAUGGCAUCAUGAGUCCGCAUGUUCACAUGAUUAAAGGUAUUCCGGUAGACGAUGGGGAUGCGUUCCAUUAGAUAGUAGGCGGGGUAACGGCCCACCUAGUCUUCGAUGGAUAGGGGUUCUGAGAGGAAGGUCCCCCACAUUGGAACUGAGACACGGUCCAAACUCCUACGGGAGGCAGCAGUGAGGAAUCUUCCGCAAUGGACGAAAAAGUCUGACGGAGCAACGCCGCGUGAGUGAUGAAGGAUUUCGGUCUGUAAAGCUCUGUUGUUUAUGACGAACGUGCAGUGUGUGAACAAUGCAAUUGCAAUGACGGUAGU